rnacentral:sRNA from 1 species
GGCAGCAGAGGAGUGAGUGGGGGAGAUGCGGGGUGAGGACCGUGGUACCCAUGCAAUGGGAGGAACUUGGGGAAUAGAAGAAGAGCUCCCUUCCCUCAGCCCUGCAGAGGGAGGCCUUUGUGAGCCGGUGUCUGGACUAGGUGCUCAGUCAAUGCUGGGAAGGAAUCAGGCCAUCUAGGUUUGCCAGCACGUGGGGCUGAAAGGUCAGGGAAGCCCUCUGAAUGCUGCAGAGCACUCUACGGUGUGACCACUGGCCCUACUGGCCUCUUCUCUUCCAGGGCCUCCUUGAGGAGGCUUUUCUCUCUCAGCUUCUCUGGCCCAUUUGUGACAGAAGGGCCCUCUCCCCUUCCUUCUCUCUGGGGUCCUGGGCCCUUCACCCAGGGCCUUGUCCUGGAAACCUGUUUCUCAUGGCCGGCUUCUCGCUUGCACUGUCUGGAACAUAGAAGCCCUGCCAUCCCUGACCCCUCCUGAGGUUGAGGGGCUGUUGUCUGGAGAAGCAGGGAGGGGUGGCCAGUAGGGUCCUCCGUGACAGCUGUGUCUGGGAAUGGUCCAGGGUCCUGAGCUUGAGUCCCUUCCCACCAUCUACCUCUUUUCUUUCAGUCGACUCAACCCCGAGUCUCACCUCCUGCAAGAUCCAUGGGCUUAGCCACUCCCUCCGGCAGAUCAGCAGCCAGCUGAGCAGUGUCCUCAGCAUCCUGGACAGCCUCAACCCUCAGUCGCCGCCGCCGCUUCUCGCCUCCACGCCAGCCCAGCUCCCUCCCCGGGACCCUAAGAGCACCCCCACCCCCACCUACUAUGGCUCCCUGGCCAGGUUCUCAGCCUUAUCAUCUGCUACACCCACGUCCACCCAAUGGGCCUGGGAUUCAGGGCAGGGGCCCAGGCUCCCCUCCUCUGUGGCUCAAACAGUGGACGACUUCCUGUUGGAGAAGUGGCGCAAGUAUUUUCCAUCUGGCAUCCCGCUGCUCAGCAACAGCCCUGCCCCACUGGAGAGCAGGCUGGGUUACAUGUCUGCCAGUGAGCAGCUCCGGCUCCUACAGCACUCCCAUUCCCAAGUCCCUGAGGCUGGCAGCACCACCUUUCAGGGCAUAAUUGAGGCCAACCGGAGGUGGCUGGAACGUGUCAAGAAUGACCCCAGGUUACCUCUCUUCUCUUCAGCACCCAAGCCAAAAGCUACUUUGAGCCUUCUGCAGCUGGGCCUUGAUGAGCACAACAGAGUGAAGGUGUAUCGCUUCUGAGGCCCUGAGCAGGGGCUUGGGGCAGCCCAGCCUCUCCUCCACCCAGACCAGGUGCCUGAGGAGCUGCCUGCCUUCUUCCAUCUGAGAAAGCACCCUCCUUCCCCCUUUGACUUGCAGGAGCCACCAGGGAGCAGGGGGUUGAGUGGAACAGUAAAGCCGCACAUUCUGUGA